CUAUGUCCUACAGACUCUCCAACACGUGGACCUGGACCCGAGCUGUAGCCUGGUGGUCCACCACCAUAGGUUGUUAUCUGGUUAAGGGGCAGUUAUCCCUUUGUGUUGGUGUUAAUAAAUGUGUUUCCUCCAAAAAACACACGUUGGAGACAACCGAUGGACUGAGUUGGUUUGGAUGGGACAUUUCUCUCGACACAAUGAUGGCCGAUAGACAAGACUGGUUGCAAAAUGGCAACCAAAGGAAGGAACGUGCCCACGAGCCCGACCACCAUGGAGAUGGAGUGAUGAGAUCUACUCUUGUGCAGGAGCAAGAUGGUUGAGUCAUUACAAGACCACGAAGGAUGGUGAGAGUACAGGAAGACAUCCAUUCAGCAGUGGAGAGACUUUUGGCCGAUAAUGAUGGUGCUCACGCUGACGAGCCUCACCUGUCCACCACCUGACCCGCACUCCAUCGCCUCGUCAGCCCUGCCGGUUCGCCACCCACUCAAGAAACCUUCAAACUAUUCACCAGGAACAAUUUCAUAAUACACGAAGCAUCUGUACACAUACUU